GACACUAUAGCCAAGUGGUUACGGCGACAGAUUCGAAAUCUGUUUCCCUUUGGGAACGCAGGUUCGAAUCCUGCUGGUGUCG
rnacentral:tRNA from 1 species